AUGUCGGAGCAAACGCAGGAGUUCUACGCCGAAGUAUUUCACAAGACUCACGAGCUUGCUCGUAGAUGUUAUGAGAGGAUUCGUGAUAAGAAUAAAAGGCUUCGUUUGGAACUGAAGUGCAAGAUAUUUGAUCUUGACUUAGCAUCCAAGAAGCUGGAUGAACUAGCUUCAAAAAGUAUCUCCCAAGAAAGGAAGUAUGAGGAAGAGAAAGAACAGAGGGAGAAACAAGUCGCUCUAUUAUUUCACAUGUUAGAUCAGGAACUGAAUGCCAAGCAGAAGCUUGAGUUGGAAACAAAGCAGCUGCAGAGCAAAUUGGAAGCAGUGAAACCUAUGCAAGGUGAAGACUCUGAAUCAAAGAAGAAAAUGGCUGAACAGAGUGAGGAGCUGCAAGACAAAUAUGACAGAGUGGAAUCAAUUGUUCGGACUUUGAUUACCAAGGAAAGACAAUCCAAUGAUGAGUUACAGCUUGCUCGGAAGGCACUGAUACGUGGCUUCCAGGAUCUUACAACUGACCGAACAUCUAUAGGCAUCAAAAAGAUGGGCAUGCUUAACCUGGAAUCACUUGAAAAAGCUUUCAACCAGAAAUUGUCAGAACCUGCUGAAUCAAGUUAUCAUGCUGCCUUAUUUUGUGAAAAAUGGGAGAAUGAGAUAAGAAAUCCAAAAUGGCACCCUUUUAAAGCUAUCAUGGUUGAUGGAAAAGAAAUGGAAAUUCUCUGUGAGGACGACGAGAAGCUCCGGGCUCUGAAAGAAGAACACGGGGAGCAGAUCUGUGACUUGGUGACAAAGGCUCUGCUCGAAAUCAACGAGCACAAUCCCAGUAGCCGCUAUCCUUUCAGCGAGCUGUGGAACUACAAGGAGGACCGGAAAGCGACCCUGGAAGAAGUCGUCGCGUACGUCCAGAACCAAUGGCGACUGGACGGGAGCAAGCUCAAGAGGAAGCGCGCCGAAGAAGAUGCUGGAAGUACUCAAGUGGAGGACAUCACACGCUGA
rnacentral:rRNA from 1 species